AUGUACAUUCCUACAAUGUAGUGUUAAUGCACUAGAUUCCAUUAUAAAUCUACAGUUAAUCACGCUCAUGCUAGAGUAGUAUUGGGUUGGGUGACCACCAAGGAAGUCUUAGUGUUUUACAUG
rfam:Picea glauca, whole genome shotgun sequence.